UACGAGGGGGGCGAGCGUUGUUCGGAAUUAUUGGGCGUAAAGAGCUCGUAGGCGGUCUGUCACGUCGGCUGUGAAAUCCCGAGGCUCAACCUCGGGUCUGCAGUCGAUACGGGCAAACUAGAGUAUUGCAGGGGAGACUGGAAUUCCUGGUGUAGCGGUGAAAUGCGCAGAUAUCAGGAGGAACACCGGUGGCGAAGGCGGGUCUCUGGGCAAUAACUGACGCUGAGGAGCGAAAGCGUGGGGAGCGAACAGG
rnacentral:rRNA from 1 species